UACAGAGGUGGCAAGCGUUGUUCGGAAUUACUGGGCGUAAAGGGCUCGUAGGCGGCCAACUAAGUCGGAUGUGAAAUCCCCAGGCUUAACCUGGGAACUGCAUCCGAUACUGGGAUGGCUUGAAUUCGGGAGAGGGAUGCAGAAUUCCAGGUGUAGCGGUGAAAUGCGUAGAUAUCUGGAGGAAUACCGGUGGCGAAGGCGGCAUCCUGGACCGAGAUUGACGCUGAUGAGCGAAAGCUAGGGGAGCAAACGGGG
rnacentral:rRNA from 1 species